rnacentral:rRNA from 1 species
GAUGAACGCUGGCGGCGUGCUUAACACAUGCAAGUCGAACGAAGCACUUUAUUUGAUUUCCUUCGGGACUGAUUAUUUUGUGACUGAGUGGCGGACGGGUGAGUAACGCGUGGGUAACCUGCCUUGUACAGGGGGAUAACAGUUGGAAACGGCUGCUAAUACCGCAUAAGCGCACAGCAUCGCAUGAUGCAGUGUGAAAAACUCCGGUGGUAUAAGAUGGACCCGCGUUGGAUUAGCUAGUUGGUGAGGUAACGGCCCACCAAGGCGACGAUCCAUAGCCGACCUGAGAGGGUGACCGGCCACAUUGGGACUGAGACACGGCCCAAACUCCUACGGGAGGCAGCAGUGGGGAAUAUUGCACAAUGGGCGAAAGCCUGAUGCAGCGACGCCGCGUGAGCGAAGAAGUAUUUCGGUAUGUAAAGCUCUAUCAGCAGGGAAGAGAAUGACGGUACCUGACUAAGAAGCACCGGCUAAAUACGUG